CAGUCGCCGCGGUAAAACGGAGGAUCCAAGCGUUAUCCGGAAUCAUUGGGUUUAAAGGGUCCGUAGGCGGUCUUGUAAGUCAGUGGUGAAAGCCCAUCGCUCAACGGUGGAACGGCCAUUGAUACUGCAGGACUUGAAUUAUUGGGAAGUAACUAGAAUAUGUAGUGUAGCGGUGAAAUGCUUAGAGAUUACAUGGAAUACCAAUUGCGAAGGCAGGUUACUACCAAUUGAUUGACGCUGAUGGACGAAAGCGUGGGUAGCGAACAGGAUUAGAUACCCCAGUAGUCCCUGUCUCUUAUAC
rnacentral:rRNA from 1 species